rnacentral:lncRNA from 1 species
AUUGUGGCCGGGGUAGCAGCAGCACGGGACUUGUUAACGUUCUCUCUCUCCCUCUCUCUCUCUCUCUCUCCCUCUCUCCCCCUCGGUCUUCCUCAAGUCCACCCUACCCUACCGGCUGCUGCUGCUCCUUCUUCUGUUGCUGCUUCUGCUGCUGCUACUGCUGGAAGAGUCCUUGGGGCUGCAGCCCGGCUGUUUUCAAGAUUACUCAAACUCACAAGAAGAAAAUUCCUAUCUGACCACAGCAGUUGUGCUGAACAGGCGAGGACGGAACAGCAGAGAGGAAAACCCUCAGAUGACAAGGACUGGGUUUUGUUGUUACUGCUGUUGUUUUUCCAACUCAUCCACUCUUGUCCUCCUACAGUGUUUGAAGGUAAGAGCUUAAUCCUCAUAACUUCAUCCGCCUGGGCCCCUUAUGAUAUUGUGUUAUCAGUAAAUAUGUUAUAGCUCCUUACAUUAUCUUUACAUGCCUUGUAUUCAUUAAAUGUUUGGAAACAAAUUGAGAUGCCAUCUGAUUAAC